rnacentral:rRNA from 1 species
UACGAAGGGAGCUAGCGUUGUUCGGAAUCACUGGGCGUAAAGCGCACGUAGGCGGAUGUGUCAGUCAGAGGUGAAAUCCCGGAGCUCAACUUCGGAACUGCCUUUGAUACAGCACGUCUUGAGUCCGAUAGAGGUGGGUGGAAUUCCUAGUGUAGAGGUGAAAUUCGUAGAUAUCGGGAGGAACACCAGUGGCGAAGGCGGCGAUCUGGGAAGAUACUGACGCUGAGGUGCGAAAGCGUGGGGAGCAAACAGG